CAGUCGACGAGAGGACAUGGGAAGCUUGCUUCCUAUGAAAUCGAGUGGCAAACGGGUGAGUAACGCGUAAACAACCUGCCCUUCGGAUGGGGAUAACAGCCGGAAACGGCUGCUAAUACCGAAUACGAUCUUUUCGUCGCAUGACGAAAAGAAGAAAGGAUGGCCUCUAUACAAAGCUAUCGCCGAAGGAGGGGUUUGCGUCUGAUUAGCUGGUUGGAGGGGUAACGGCCCAACAAGGCGAUGAUCAGUAGCCGGUCUGAGAGGAUGAACGGCCACAUUGGGACUGAGACACGGCCCAGACUCCUACGGGAGGCAGCAGUGGGGAAUCUUCCGCAAUGGACGAAAGUCUGACGGAGCAACGCCGCGUGAGUGAAGAAGGUCUUCGGAUUGUAAAGCUCUGUUAUACGGGACGAAAAAGACGGAUGCCAACAGUAUCCGUCCGUGACGGUACCGUAAGAGAAAGCCACGGCUAACUACGUGCCAGCAGCCGCGGUAAUACGUAGGUGGCAAGCGUUGUCCGGAAUUAUUGGGCGUAAAGGGCGCGCAGGCGGUUCGGUAAGUCUGUCUUAAAAGUGCGGGGCUUAACCCCGUGAGGGGACGGAAACUGUCGAACUUGAGUGUCGGAGAGGAAAGCGGAAUUCCUAGUGUAGCGGUGAAAUGCGUAGAUAUUAGGAGGAACACCGGUGGCGAAAGCGGCUUUCUGGACGACAACUGACGCUGAGGCGCGANNNCGUGGGGAGCAAACAGG
rnacentral:rRNA from 1 species